rnacentral:misc_RNA from 1 species
UUGUGACGCUUCACUGCAGUAUUGCUCAAAUUUUCUUGCAUGCAUGAAAAUUUGCAGCACAAGUACCAUGUCACGUUUUUUGAAUGGCAGGGUUAUGGUUAAGGCUUCUUAAAGUUCCCUAGUUGUUUAUUGGAGAACUGAAAUGAGUAAGCUUGGAGCAUUAGGAAAAUAUACAAAUCGUAAUGCUUUUCGCAUAAGCCUUACCAAUCCACUUAGGCUUUGAGAAGCUCAUGCUGUCUGAGCACACUUCACAUGCAAAUGGAAAUAAAGUAGGAAUUCCAGGGACAGUGGGUGGGAGGUUGCAAAAUACCUUCCAGGGUCACUGAAUUGUAUAUAAUUGUACGUUUUAUAAUCUUUUAUAGUCGGUUGUAUUUAAUCGUUUGAAUACUUCAUCAAUAUUUUGAUUUUUAAGGGAAUGCAG